rnacentral:rRNA from 1 species
UUCUUGAAAAUUAAAAAAUUUGGCGGUAUUUUAGUCUUUUUAGAGGAAUCUGUUCUAUAAUUGAUAAUCCACGUUUUUAUUAACUUAAAUUUUUAAUUUAUAUAUCGUUGUAGUUUGAAUAUUUUUUGAGAAAAUUAAUGUUCAAGAUUUUUAUUGAAAGGAAUACAAAUCAAGGUGUAGUUUAUAUUUAAGAAGAGAUGGAUUACAAUGAAUUUAUUUAAAUGGAUAAAUUUUUGUAAUAAAAUUUUGAAAGUGGAUUUAAAAGUAAUUUUAUAUAAAUAUAUAAAAUGAUUAAGCUCUAAGAUAUGUACAUAUCGCCCGUCGCUUUCAUUAUAAGAUGAAAUAAGUCGUAACAUAGUAGGUGUACUGGAAAGUGUCCCUAGAAAGACAAAUUAAAGCUUUAUAAGCAUUUUAUUUACAUUAAAAAGAUUAUUAUAAUUUAAUAUAAUUUGAGAGAUAUAAAUUAUUAAGAUGAAUAAUAAAUAAAGUAAUAUUUAUUUUAAAUAAAAUAAUUUAAAUUUUUAUUAAUUUUAUAUGAAUAAAUAAAAUAUUAUAAUAGAUAAUUAGUAUUGAAAAAGAAAUUUAAAAUUUUUAUAAAAGAAGAAAUAAUAUUUUGUACCUG